GCGGUCCUUGAUUCUCUUCACGGCUCAAACGCACUCGUAAUGCGUAGGUCCGGGGUUCAAAUCCCCGAGGCGGCUCCA
rnacentral:tRNA from 1 species